AUUGAACGCUGGCGGCAGGCCUAACACAUGCAAGUCGAGCGGAGCGGCGGACGGGUGAGUAAUGCCUAGGAAUCUGCCUGGUAGUGGGGGAUAACGUCCGGAACCGGGCGCUAAUACAGCAUACUAUCAGAUGAGCCUAGGUCGGAUUAGCUAGUGUGUGGGGUAAAGGCCUACCAAGGCGACGAUCCGUAACUGGUCUGAGAGGAUGUUCAGUCACACUGGAACUGGUACACGGUACGGACUCUUACGGGAGGCAGCCGUGGGGAAGAGUGGACAAGGGGCGAAAGCCUGCUCCAGCCAUGCCGCUGCUGUGAAGAAGGUCUUCGGAUUGUAAAGCACUUUAAGUUGGGAGGCGUUACCAACAGAAUAAGCACCGGCUAACUUCGUGCCAGCAGCCGCGGUAAUAC
rnacentral:rRNA from 1 species